UUUACCUGCUGGGGCUGCUGUCUCCAUCCAGCCUAUCACCCGGCCACUGUUGAGCAAGACUCGAUGGCCCCGUGUCCCUCCUUGAGAGGAGGUUGCCGUUACCACUGGGAGCUCCUUCUCCAGCACACCCUGAACCUCAGGUGGCUCCCAGGACUAGCCAGGUAAGGCUUGCGAGGAGCCACCGUUCCACUGGCGCUCGCUGGAAGAGCAGCUGCUCACAGCCGCGAUUAUCAGGCACAGCUCAACGUCUCCCUUGAGGCACCCAAAAAUUGAGACACGAUACAUCCAAGCUGGUGGCUUUUCACUUGGUCGGUGAAAUCAUUUAUUAGCAUUUUCUGUGCAAGUGUGAAACAGUCCCUUGGGUUAGAAAGGGGUUGCAACGAGGUGUGAGGCUCAUAUAUGCCAGACGACAUGCACGUUUUCUACCCACCGCCUCCGUCCCGCUCCCAGGGUCUGAGCACUCUCCCACGAAUACGCAGCCCAGCGCCGGGCCAGGCAGCGCUUUCGGCAGCAGCUCUGAAGCAGCACGACGAAACGCCUCGAAUACAUAGCGCUGCAAUGCGUUUUGGCGGCCCAGCGGUGAUUCCCCUCUGACGCCUCGAGCUCAGGGCUCAAAGGGGCAUCCUGCAGCAGCCCCACACGAAAGCCCGGGCGGGAACUGCUCCGUUUCCAGAGACGUUACUCCGAUGGUGCACGCGAGGAGGGAGAGCUUCAGGCAGCGCAAGGUGAAUUUUAUGGGUCAUGAGGCAGAACUGGCCUAGCUCCUCCCUGCCAAACUAGGGGUGAAGUAUAAACAAAUAAGCAAGUAAAUAAACACGUCCUCUGUCAUGCAGCAGCUGAAAGGCACUGUGGACAAAAACAAAGAUCCAGUAGGAAAAAGCUGAUGCAAAAGCCUGGAUGAGGAGGUCCUUUAAUGUUUGAUUUUAGCAUAGAAUCUCUUGUCCAAAUAGCGGAGCUCUGUGUAAGGCCUGAAUAUAUUUGCCGUGCAUAGGAGCUCUGUUUGCAGUGGGAGGAGAGAGUCUCAUCUUGUAUAGCCUGGAGUAGGAGCACAGUCAUUGCUGCAGUUCAUAGCCUGAUACAUCCUCCUGCCUCCCCGCGCAGACAGAUUAUCUCUUGGAUUCAUGCGUGACCUCUCAAGGUAUUCUCUUUUUGCCACUUAGGGUUUUCCCCGACCCUCUCUCAGGAGGGGAGUGGGAGUUUUCCCCUCUGUGAAUUAAAUUAAUAAGAAAAGCAUCAAGGGAAAUUGGCUAUUCUUUGGCUGAUUACCUUUAGUUCUCCUACUAGCCAUGUUGGGGUUCAGCUUUACUGCAAGAAUGCACAAUAAUCUAAUUAAUAUGCUUAUUGUAGCAUAAUAGCAUCUAAAGGCAUAUUUCAGCUUGUCGCAGCAUGCACUUCUAAUUUUUUUUUUUACUUUGCAGUAACAUUAAAACAGUCAGACUUUCAGCCCUGCAAACUGUGGAUAAUGAAUUUCUUUCAUUCCAAACAAUUUACUCCCCUGUGUAUUAAAACACUUCGCCAGAUCAGUUGUAUUUGUACCAAUGCAUGCUCUGACGUGCACAGCAGUGGAAAAACUGAGCAAUUGGAGAAUAGUAAUGAUUAUUUUCUUGGUAAAUGUUUUUCCUUAAAAUGAUAGAAAUAAAGUCACAUAUUUCUCUGUCAGAA